rfam:Acromyrmex echinatior unplaced genomic scaffold scaffold641, whole genome shotgun sequence.
GUCUCGGUAGUCUAAAGGCUCAGGACUCUCGCAUGCAAGAGAUCCGGGUUCAAUUCCCGGCCGAAGCA